GGUCCAGUGGUGUGGUGGAAACACACUUGCCUUAAAUAAGUGUAAAUUAAAGUGUGUUACGCAAGAGAUCCCUGUUCAAUUCAGGGUUGGGUCA